GACUGGCCUGGUCAUGGAGGAGGAGGGGGUACUAAAGAGGAGGCUCAAAACUGUCCGGGAUCCCUGGAGAAUCCUGGUGCGGACUGGGAAGAGAAAAGUCUGAAGUUCCAGUCCACACAGCAGAAACCCCAGAAAGUGGCUUCUGACCUCACAUCAAUUGGAGACCAGAGAGCCUCCAAAACUUCUAUUUGCGGAAAAACGCGAGUCCACCCAAAGCCUUGUGACUGAUUCCCAGAGUUCUGGACCCGCAAGUUCCACGGCUAAGGAUGAUCCCUGACAGAACAUUCUUUGAUCGUCAGACACACAGGUGAUGGAAGCUAUCCCUCAUCGAGAACCUUUUGUACAGGGCACCAUGCUGGACAUGAAGGGAACAGACAGAGGAGCCACAUCCAGAGACUGGCAGAGAAGAGGAGGAAGUGGGAAACUGGCUGUGUGCUAGGAGACUGCUGAGCUUCAGGACACCUGAGCUGGGCCACCAGAAGCUGGCCUCAGUGGUUCACUGCCCUCUGGUUUCAGACCCCAAAUGUGCGUGCGCAAUCCUGACAACAGGGCAGAGAGGGUGACAAGGACCUGAAGAACUCCUAACAAAGGCACCUCAGAGCUUCUCCCUGCAAGGUGUCUCCCAACUGCUGCCCCUCCCCACCCAAGGAGACUUCAAAUUCUACCCCCAAGGCUGAAGCCUGACACCUCUCUGCACCCGCACUGCCACCACCACGGCCCAGCCCACCACAAUCACCUCGCACUGGAUGGCGACAGUCCAUCUGCCAGGUAUCUAGACUCGCAAGUCUGAUCAUGUCACCCCAGGAACACCUUUCAGUGACUGCCCACUGUUCUCAGUGGAAAAACCUAGCCCUGAAUACCAGCAUUUCCUACCCAGCAUUUCUUGGCCCCUGCAAAAUUCUACUGAACAGUUUUGGGUGGCCGCCCUGUGUUGUCAUGCCUCAGCUAUUUGAUGAAGUGUCUGGAAAGCUAUCAGACUCAGCACCACUUCACUUGGUGACUGGGAUAUCCCCUAUGCCCAUCAAUCCUGAUUCAUGGGUUUUUAAGUCUAGGCCAGAUCCAGCAGAGCCUUCCAAAAAGACUUCCUGGUCUAGGCCACUCUCCUCUGGUUCUUUAUGAUACCAGUUCCAACAUUAUAAAGCUUUGGUUUUACUGUAAUUUUUCGUGUGUGUGUGUGUGUGUGUGUGUGUGUGUGUGUGUGUACACUCCACAGUGUCAGUGUUCAUGUAGAGGUCAGAGAACAGCUUACAGGAACUGAUUCUCUCCUUCCUCUGUGCAGAUUCUGAGAUAGAAUUCGUCAGGCUGAGUAGCAAGCGCCUUCACCCCCUGAGCCAUCUCACUUGAUGUUUCUGAAAGGCUCUGGUUCCAUCUUGAGCUACAGAGCUGCUGUAUCUGUUGUGAUCCACUACUGUGUCAUCGGCUUGUAGCACAGACUCUGACUCACCCGUGGACCAGUAGCCUGGCUGCGGAAGGAGUGAACAGAAAAACUAGCUUGGAAGGGAAGCAAGAUCUUCAGGAGUCCUCAGCUUUCUGAUCAACGAGUUGAGAGAUCUGCCUUUCUUUGUAGCUCAGAUCAUUCAGGGCUGACAGUCAUAGAAUCAUCCUGGCUCCCCUCCUGUCUAGUUUCCUGCCUGAGGAUCUACGGCUGACCCUGACAUUUAGUCAUUUUGUCUUCCACUCUCCAAUGCCCAUUGCUGGACAGAAGUAUAAUCAGGUGAUACCAUAAACCUAAUUUGCACUUCUCCUCAGGCAAUGAAGUCAUUGGAGCUUUGGAGGUGGUCUUGAGGCACAGAGAAAGGACUGACCCACCCCACCCUGUGUUCUCCCCUCCCCCUCAG